rnacentral:tRNA from 1 species
GGAGACGUGUCAGAGUGGUCGAAUGUACCUCUUUGCUAAAGAGGUGUGCCCUUUAAAAAGGCACCGAGGGUUCGAAUCCCUCCGUCUCCG